AACGAACGCUGGCGGCAUGCCUAACACAUGCAAGUCGAACGAUACCUUCGGGUCUAGUGGCGCACGGGUGCGUAACGCGUGGGAACCUGCCCUUAGGUUCGGAAUAACUCCCCGAAAGGGGUGCUAAUACCGGAUAAUGUCUUCGGACCAAAGAUUUAUCGCCUUUGGAUGGGCCCGCGUUGGAUUAGCUAGUUGGUAGGGUAAAAGCCUACCAAGGCGACGAUCCAUAGCUGGUCUGAGAGGAUGAUCAGCCACACUGGGACUGAGACACGGCCCAGACUCAUACGGGAGGAAGCAGUGGGGAAUAGUGGACAAUGGGAGAAAGACUGAUCCAGCAAUGCCGCGUGAGUGAUGAAGGCCUUAGGGUUGUAAAGCUCUUUUACCCGGGAUGAUAAUGACAGUACCGGGAGAAUAAGCUCCGGCUAACUCCGUG
rnacentral:rRNA from 1 species